rnacentral:rRNA from 1 species
UCGGGAAUUUUGGGCAAUGGGCGAAAGCCUGACCCAGCAACGCCGCGUGAAGGAUGAAGUAUUUCGGUAUGUAAACUUCGAAAGAAUAGGAAGAAUAAAUGACGGUACUAUUUAUAAGGUCCGGCUAACUACGUGCCAGCAGCCGCGGUAAUACGUAGGGACCAAGCGUUGUUCGGAUUUACUGGGCGUAAAGGGCGCGUAGGCGGCGUGGUAAGUCACUUGUGAAAUCUCCGAGCUUAACUCGGAACGGUCAAGUGAUACUGCUGUGCUAGAGUACAGAAGGGGCAAUCGGAAUUCUUGGUGUAGCGGUGAAAUGCGUAGAUAUCAAGAGGAACACCUGAGGUGAAGACGGGUUGCUGGGCUGAUACUGACGCUGAGGCGCGAAAGCUAGGGUAGCAAACGGGAUUAGAUACCCAAGUAGUCCCUGAGCGGGCUGGCAAGGCGCAU